CCGCGCGCCCCGGGCGGCUGUUUGUUAGCGCCCGUUUAGCGCCGGAGCUGCGGGGAGGGCCGCUCUGGCGUUUGUGUGCGGAGCGGACUACGCGGGGCCGCCGAGCGAUGCUGGAGAAAACGGUAGCGGGAGAUUGGAGGGGAAAGCGUGUUUCAGACCUUCGUUGUGCUUUGGAGCCCGUUUAUGCGAUAGGAAUAAGUGCCCUUCCCUGGCUCAGCGCCCGGUGCCAACAGAACACCUUGCAGGAUCCUCAGCAGCGCAGACAACACAACGUAAGUAGCCAGCUGUCCCUUGACGCCCUCUUCCAAAAGCCCUCCGGCCCCUGCAGAGUGUGUGCGGCUCUUUCCCUCGCUCACCCUCCGGAGUGCCACCUGGGUUUCACAAGUAGCACCUUCCAAAUCUCUCUGUCUUCAAGUUUGUGCAUGUCUGUGUGGCAUCCCUCCUCCUCCUUCACUCCUAUAGUGGAUCUUGCAAAGGGCUUCAGAUCGGCCCCAUUCAUCUCCCUGGUGAUAGCAGUGAAUGUAGAUAAAUCUCUGACUGCCUGCUUGCUGCUGGAGUAUGAUUUUUAUUUUGUCUUCCGUGUAUACCUAGGUCAAAAAGUGGGAUGUAUGCUCACACUGUGUGGAUGCGUGUGCGUGUGUGAAUUUGUCUCUCCCAAGCACACAAACGUACAUCUCCUCACACGUGUAUGUACGCAUAUUACAUGCGUGCACACAGAUAUAUAUCCCCGCACAUGUAUGUGUGCACACAGUACACACACAUCUCCGCACACACGCACACACACUCAUACUUCUAAUCUGCAAUUAUCUGAGGCAUUGUGUGCAUGUGUGUAUGUGUGUCCACACGCACACUGCUCUGUGUGUAUGUGCAUACACAGGCAUCUCGCUAUCUACAAACAUUCCCUCUCCUCCCAGCAGAGGCUGUGUGCAGCUGUGAUCCUGCCCUAUGAGAGCGGUAUUCCUUCCUUCCCUCGGCGUGCUGUUUGGAGACCUUCGUGCUCCCCUCUCGGGUCCCUCCCGAGCUGCAGGGCUGGCACCUCUCCCUCAGCUUGUCCGAAUGGCGAAUGGCACUGUCCGUCGCCCGCGUUGGUACAGCCUCAGAUGGCACUUCUCUCUGGAUGUCGGCUGCUCCCUUUUGUUUGUUGUUGCCCAAUCUGGGUGUGGUGGGGCUUUUUUUGGAGUUAAUUGUAAAUGAACCUGAAUGGCAAACACAUCAACAGCUUGCGAAAAAAGAGAAAAGAGAAAAAAAAAAGAAAAGAAAGCCCCUCACAAACGCCUUCUGCUGCGACAGAUGCCCAUGUUGCCCCUGGCACGGCGAGCGGGCAUGAGGGGGUUGUUGCCAAGCCUUUUUCUUUUGCCGUUUUUAUUGUCCGCGUUGCCGAUUUCCCUUUAUUUUUGAAGCCUCCAAGAUGCCGGCCUCGGCAUGGAGCGGCGCGGUGUCAUGGCGGAGACGACGGCCUUUGUCUCGCGGGGUGUGAAAGCAUCCGUUGUGCUGGCUCCACUGCGGCAGAAUGACGUUCAAGGGGGAAACGUGCUGGAAGCCGGCGUGCUGUGCCCAUAGCCGAGCGUGUCCAAGGCAGGGCUGGCGGCGGAGAGCCUCGUCUGUAAUCCUGGCACUUGCGCCUCUGCUCGCUGCGCGCCGCUUGCUCCUGGGGGUCUGGAUAAUCUCCCUUAGCGUUACCGCACUGUCUGGCCCGCGCACAGGGCCCCCGUAACAUAUACCCGCUGCCGUUAUCACACGGAACUGUGGCGUUGCCACUGAAUGGAUGGCACUGUGCCAACUCUUCUGCCAUCCGCCCUUGCAGCUUUUUUUUCUUCCCUCCUCCCUCCCUCUCUCCCCUCCUCCUCCUCCUCCCGUCGACUUGACGUUAAUUAACACACGGGUUAAUUGAUUUUAAAAGCUGAAGAAUUACAGUUAACUUUUCCCACAGGGUACAGCCGCCUGGCACGGCGCUGCCGCUCGUGCGGUGCAGGGGGGCAGGGAUGCGCCCACAGCAGAGCUGGGUGGCUGCAGAGGCUCUGUCUUUGGAGCACGGCGGAAGGAAGCUGAUGUGCGCCCGUCUCAUCCUUCCCAAGAUGUCACCAUCAUGUUUUGCGACAAACAGUCCCAAUGCUCCCUCCCCUCUGCGCUCAAUGGCUGCACGGGCUCUGCUGGAGGGGCAGCAGGAGGGCAGCUCGGCCGCGUGGCGGGGCUCCCAUCCGCGCAAGCUGGAGGUGCUGGGGCGGGGAGCCUGGGGAACGCUGCCCUUUUCUGCUUAUCCUGUUUUCCAGGGCAUUUUUUGUUUCCUCGGUUGGCUCCGAUAUGUCACUUGGGGUGAAGAAUCUCAACCAGGGGAAAGUUAGAUGGUCGUAAUUACAGGCGAAAUACACCAUGUGAGGGCUUUGUUUUUUCGCUUUCGCUCUCCCUCGCCCCGGUCUCUGCUGGUGAAUGACGGUGCGGUUGGGAGGAGACGCGGCGGGGCUGGGAACUCAUCGCUUCCACCUUCUUGUGCUUUCAUUUUAUUUCAUUUUGUUUUUUAAAAGCAUGAAGCAAGUGAAGCGACGAGAGGAAUCCAUUAUGCAAAUCAGGUCACAUUUGCAUAAUGUCUCAUGACUGGAAUAUGCAAAUGAGUUGUAUAAUUUAUGAGUGCCAGUGUCUGUCUAAAAGUGUUUCCCAGAAUUUAUAAAAAGUGAGACGUGGGGAGGGCAGCUGGGCUCGCUGCCCUGCCAGGAGGGCUCUGCGCUUUCUUUUCAAAGUCUUCCUUCAGACCAGCAGCUGAAAUGCUCCUUAAUGAGAAGCCAGCCACCCCUUCCACACUGUCCCCCUCGUUUUCUUUUCUAUUUCUCACUCUGCCAAGCCUGGACCUGCUCGCUCUGAACUUCUUCAGGAGGCGAUGGACCUGCACGCUGGACCAGGACUCUAAAGCCAUGCACCUCUGGGCAGUCUGCUCCAUCCCUGCAUCCGUCUGGGCACUCUGGCACUUCCCGGCAGGGAGGCUGUGCCUUUCAGGCGUGCUGGCUCCAUGGGCAUGGUGUGCAAGGAAUGGGUGUAGGUGUUUGCUUCCCACAGCAUGGUGGAACUGCUGCUCAUUCAGAACACACCGCAACCUGUGCCUAGAGACCCACCUUGACCCUACAAAGAGCAGCAAGGUCUGCGCAGGGCUGGCAGUGCCCCUGAAGAGCAACCUUGAGCUUCCUGCCCUGAGCAGACAGGAGCUAUUUCAGCACUGAAAAGGUCUCUGGAACAUGCUGGAAAUGCAGGACAAGAGCCAAGAUCGAUCUAGUUUAUGUUCACUCUGCAUAUUUGGAGAUCUCAGGAGCAUCAGGAGAACACAGAAACAGGUGGAGGAUGUGAAAGGUUACAGACAAAGACAAUGAUGCUGGAAAAAAAAAGAGCACACCAUAAAAAAGAAUUCCCACUGGAUGCUCAAGAGCAGAGGAUCUAUCAACUGCAGACCAAGCAGAGGCAGAGGCAGGCAGAACCGGAGCAAUAAUGCAGCCAGAUCCAGCAGCUCAGCCAGGAGCUGGAGGCCACCGUCAGCUGCAGGAGGAGGCUCGGACACAGUGUGGCUGAGGAAAAUCACAACACCAGCUGCAUGUAAGAAACUCCUGGAAAGAAGAACAAAGCCAUCUGUUCUCCAUGUCCACGAAGGCAUGCACAAGAACUAAUGGGUGUACCCUACAUCAAGAAAGAUUCAGGUUAGGAACAGCGUCUAAUGGAGAGGAGAACAAAGCAGGUGAACAGACUGCAAGGGGCAUGAGUGUUCUGCGUCACAGGAGAUCUUCAAGGACAGAUAAACAGAAGACAAGGCACCUGUAGGUUCCCCCGUCAUAGAACUGGAAGACAGGCCAUCAGCCUCUUGAGAUUCAUGCCAGCCUUGCUCACUUCCUAAACCCAGCUUUGUUUGUACCCAGAAACUCAUUUGUCUUCUUCAAAGCCCCACCACAGGGUCUCCUUUAGCAUUCAUAUGUUACCAACAUAUCACUUGCCAGGGUGAUUCUUCUCUCUAGAAAAGUGACUGCACGCUUGCUUCCUACCAUGGUUCACCUAACCUCCAAUGAGACUCAGUACCUGCUUUGUGUUGUAAAUGGUGUCCCAUCUUGAAAUGCACUGCCUGUGUUCCUGCACUGGAUAGUAGUGUUGAUCUGUGGGAGUAUUCUUUCCUCUUUCUUGGAACCUCAUUCUUAUGCUUCUGCAGGCUUGUUCACAGGAGACUGGCUGAAGAGCACACUCAUUGCUGUUUUCCCAGAAGAUAGAAAAAUGUGUCAGGAAAUCACUGCAUGCAAAGGAGUUGGAGGAUUUGUGAGUGCAAGACCCCUGCAGAAAAUGGUGUGCAGCAGAGUAGGAAGUGCAUGGUGAAACAGAGGUACUGCUCAAGUUGACAAAAGGAGCAACACCAAAAGCUCACUUGACUGUACUGCCAGCUGAUCAGCUCUUCUGCAUGCGGCCAGGGCAAAUCGGCUUGGGCUCUCAGACUUGUAUGCCUUGUGUUGGCAGCUGGUUAAACUGUAAGAAAGAGCUGUACUAAUGGAAGGGGUUGCUUUACAUCUGGACAUCUGGAUGCUUUAAGACCUAUGGUGUGCACAUCCAUUCAUACACUGGGAGGUUUUCCAGAACUCUGACACAAUGGAGCAGUUGUGGAAGACAGCAGGUAGGAGAUGGAACAAAAGCACAGGUCAGGCUGGGGACAGAAAUUAUGCUUUUUAUUCAGACAUUGCAGGGCAUGCACAGGACAUCAGGCAUGUUGCUAAAACAUGGCUGCAGCACCAAAUGCUGCCUGCUGCCCUAACACACAGGGGCUGUGAAUAACUCAUGGCUUGUUGUGGUCCUGGAGUACAAAAACACCACUACUUUUCUUUAAUUACAAAUAGUUAAGGUAUAUCCUGCCAUUCUACCAGGCAGAUGUCCUGAAGCACCAUGGCAGCAUCAGAGCAGGUGCUAUGUGAGAAGGCAUGUUGUGAAUGAAGCUACAAGAACGUGCACUUACAUUUACACCGGGUUUAUUUACAAGCACACCUCACCUGGGACAGUGACAUCUGAAGGGCUAGCCUGCUCCAUCCCCAUGGUCCCAGCAGGCAGCAUGUCUCUACACCAGAGCAGAAGACAGCAUGGUGCUGUGUUCAGACUGUGCUAAUCCUGCCAUGUGUUUUGAAGAUGAUGUGUUUCCUGUUGCCUUUCACCUUGUGGCUGCACAGAUCCCUUCUGCUGGAUGGCAAUCUUAAAGGAUGCUGAUGGGAAAUCCCAGGAAGCUGCUCUCUGAUCUAAGUCACGCUGCUGGCAGAGGGAAGUCUCCAACACAUGCAGGCAUGGCACAGGGUGUUCCCCGCCGCUUGGCACAUACUGCAGUCGAUAGCCCUCAGCAGGAUCUUGCAUUCAAUAUUAUGCUGUCUAAGAGGCUUAAAAUUGACUGCAAAGCUUCGGUACAACUACAAAAAAAUCUUGUUUUCAGUUUCGCCUCUGGUGGAUUGCUCCAGAAUGAGACAGAGCAACUUGGUAAUUUAUUCUUGGAAUAGGGAUAGUACAUCUGCACUGGAGUAUUUGGAAUUGCAUUAUGUAAUAUGAAAAGCAGUCAUUCAUUUGAACUCCCCUUGUGGGAACAGCAGCUGCCCAGACAAAUUCCAUGUGAAGAUGGGAAAUGUGACAGAAAUCAGACAGAGCCUGCUUCUGUGUGCUGCAGAAACAACUGAGCAGUUUUGCGCCCACUAGGAAUGCCUUGCAUUCUAUCUUGCUCUCCACAGCUUGUUGUAGGUUCUUAUACCAGCUCCUGACAGACCCCCAUUUGCUGCUGCAAAAAACCAUAUAGUUGCUAGUGUCAGACAAAUGCUGCUGUCAGAGCAGAACUUGACAUAACAGCCCAUUUAAGCCACCAGCCCAGGAGCAGGAAUGGCUGUGGAGAGCCACUGCAGCCCUCCUCACCCUUGCUUAAGCAUCCUGCCUUGCUCUGAGCUGCUCCAGCGGGCAGAACUCAGGAGUGUGCUGGCUCUGAUGGUCCUCGCUCAGUGCAGUGUGUGCCACACAACCCCAUUGGCUGUGACAAAACAUGGUGCCUCUGGGUCCCUGCCUUCCCUCCAGGAAGCGCCUGCAGUCCAGCACAGUGUCUCCUGCUUUAUGUUCCCCAGACAAGCUGUUAUCACCGCAGACAGCUCUGCCACUGCUGAGAGUAUCAUUUGAAAGAGGACUAUCAAUGCAGGUGACCUGAAUCCUGAUGUGGCAGUGCAGACGUGGGGUCAGCAGUACACCACUGCAACUCUUUAAUGCUGACUUUUUGGAUACAGGGCAGGAUGUGUCAGGAUCAGUCGUUGCACGUGAUCCUGGAGCACUGAAGAAAAGCAAGAACAACUGUUCGCAAUUAGCUCCAAGUAUGUAUUGCCCACCAUCUUAUCUCUGAUAGUGGUCAAGAGCUAUUAUUGUGGGCAGUGCAAGAAGGGGGCAUAGCUACUGCAGUAGCAGUACCACCCAGAAUACUUGAUGAUAUGAAGCUCAGAGGCCUUGGAAGCAAAAAUAGGGUCUUCUAUUUAACCAGUGUGGGUGGAUUUCUUUUUCUCCCACAAUGAUAUUUAACUUCUUUUUGAAUGCACAUAAACCUCAAUGACCCACUGUAUCCUCUGUUAAGCAGUUUGACACUGCAUAGUGCAUAUUAAAAAAAAAACAACUGCUUUUUGUUUUGUAGUCACUACCUCCUAAUUUAUGGGGCACUGAUGGUUCUUAUAUCAAAGGGACAAUGAGAAACCACACUGAAGUCAAACUCUGUCUGCCAAACUUGAUUUCAUAAUCCUGUCACACUUUUCUUCAGCCAUCUCUUCUCUGGGCUAAAGAGGCUUUCUACUUUUCCUCAUAUGGAAGAUAUUCUUUGUAUUUGAUUUGCCUUGUUGCUCUUCUCUGAAACCCUUCCAACUCUAUUUUUCUUGAGAGAAGCCAACCAGAGUUCCAUAUGGUAAUCACAAUGCAGUCUCCACUAUGGCUCUGUUCAGUGGCAUAUCUCUGAUCUGUUCUCUCUUAUUUUCCUAAUAAUUCUUAACAGUCAGUUUGCCUUUUGGACUGCUCCUGGGCAUUGAGCAAACAUUUCCAUAGAACUGUCCCUGUCAGUCACUAUCUGGUUUUAUCUCGUUUAGCCCCAAGCACUCAGUCCUGAAGAGGGAACAGUUACAGCACCUGGAGCUGCAAGCAAAACCUCGCAAGAAAGAAAGUGCAAAUGUCCCAGAACUUUUGCAGGGUUAAGACCACCUGGCUGCGUCUCAUGUCUACAAAAUCAAGGACAGCUGCUAAACAUCUGAAAAACAAGACAUUAUGAAUUAAGAUCAGUCUCAUGAUGCUGCAGCCCUGUCCCCUGCCAGCAUUUUACCAUUGUGCCAGUGCAACGAGUCCCAUGGUCGCUCUCGAUGACUUCAGGUGUCCCGUAGGCAGCCAUCAGUUUGACUCUGGCCACGCUGCUGAUAAUUCGUAUUUGUUGAUAUUCCUCAGCAGCCAAACACACACAGUAUGCCCCAGACGGUACCCAGAUGUGAUUGGAGCCGAUACCCUCUUCCUGCGAACAGAGAAUUGCAAAUUAUCACUACAGCAGCAGAGGAAUAACCUUUACGGCUCAUUAAAAUUCCACAGAUUCUGCUCUGUUUUCCCUUCCGCGAACCCAAAGGGCACUGCUGGUGGAAUGGAAUUCCCCCCCCGCCCCCGCACCCGUCAGGUUCGGGCCGGGAUGUGACAUCUCCGUCUGUCCGCCGUCCCCGCCCGUGCCUGUGCCGGUAGGGGCGCCGGGCCCCACCAUGCGCCCCGAGGAGCCAUAGGACGGGGUCCGGCUCGGAGCCCUCCGCAUACGGUCGGGGAACGCGCUCUGCCGCAGCGUGCAGCCCCGCCGCGAGCCGCCUCUGAGCCGCGCCGCGCUC
ensembl:lncRNA